UACGUAGGUGGCGAGCGUUGUCCGGAUUUACUGGGCGUAAAGGGCUUGUAGGCGGUCCGCUAAGUCUGGUGUGAAAUCUCCCGGCUCAACUGGGAGGGGUCAUCGGAUACUGGCGGACUUGAGGGGGGUAGAGGAAAGCAGAAUUCCUGGUGUAGCGGUGAAAUGCGCAGAUAUCAGGAGGAACACCGGUGGCGAAGGCGGGUCUCUGGGCCGAUACUGACGCUGAGGAGCGAAAGCGUGGGGAGCGAACAGG
rnacentral:rRNA from 1 species